AAUAUUUGACAAUGGUCGAAAGCCUGAUCCAGCCAUGAGGCGUGUUUGAAGAAGGUCUUCGUCUUGUUAAGCACUAUAUGUUGGGAGGCAGGGCAGUAAGUUAAUACCUGUCUGUUUUGACGUUACCGUCAGAUUAAGUACCGUCUAACUUCGUGCCAGCAGCCGCGGUAAUACGAAGGUUGCAAGCGUUAAUCGGAAUUACUGGGCGUAAAGCGAGCGUAGGGCGUUUGUUAAGUUGGAAGUGAAAGCCCCGGGCUCAACCUGGGAACUGCUUUCAAAACUGGCAAGCUAGAGUAUGGCAGAGGGUGGUGGAAUUUCCUGUGUAGCGGUGAAAUGCGUAGAUAUAGGAAGGAACACCAGUGGCGAAGGCGACCACCUGGGCUGAUACUGACACUGAGGUGCGAAAGCGUGGGGAGCAAAC
rnacentral:rRNA from 1 species